rnacentral:rRNA from 1 species
AUGGCUGCACCCAACAAGUUGCUCCUCCUAAUCAUCAUCAUCAUGUUAGCUGCAGCCUCCUCCGUCCACAGCGCGACGACCGAAAGAUGCAACAACGGGAGCUGCGUCCCGGCCGAGAGGGCCGCGCUGCUCUCCUUCAAGGCCGGCAUCACAGGCGACCCAGACAAUCGCCUCGUCUCAUGGCAGCAACGACACCACGACUGCUGCCGGUGGAGCGGCGUCACCUGCAGCCGCCGGACAGGCCACGUCGUCAAGCUCGACCUCCGCUACGAUUAUCCAAUUCCAAUAUAUGAUUAUCUAUCUUACCCUGAAGACUACUCGCUUCGAGGACAGGUAUCUUCUUCGCUGCUUGCUCUCCGACGUCUUAAGCAUCUAGAUCUGAGUGGGAAUAUUGUCCUAGGAGAUGCAAAACCUAUGCCAGAAUUCCUGGGCUCUCUUGAGGGUUUGACGUAUCUCAACCUCUCAAACAUGGGUUUUCAUGGUAGAGUGCCGCCUCAGCUUGGCAACCUCUCCAAACUGGUGCAACUUGAUAUACAUGGCUACAUCAACACUGGCCGUCUCUACUCAGAUGAUAUAUCUUGGUUAGCGCGUCUCCAAUCGCUACAACAUCUUGACAUGGGCUCCAUCGACCUCACUCGAGUCCUUGACUGGGUUCAUGCGGUCAGCGCACUUCCCAAUUUGGUUGCACUCAUUCUCGAUGCCUGUUGGCUUAAGGACAAUAAUGUUCCAUCGUCAGUUUUACACCACAACUUUACGCUUCUUGAGGAGCUUGACCUCUCUUAUAACCUUUUCAAAGGUUUGGCGGCAUCCUAUUGGUUCUGGGAUGUAACCAGCCUGAACAGGCUUAACCUAGAGCAUGGUGAACUAUCAGGCCCACUUCCUAACGAGUUGGGAAACUUGACCUUGUUGGGGACAUUUAACAUUGGAAAUAACAACAUCCAGGGGAUGAUACCAGCAACAACGCAAGCUAUGUGUAAUCUGAGGUCUCUAAAUCUCAACUUCAACAUCAUCAGUGCGGACAUAACAGAGGUGAUAGAUAGGAUACCCAACUGUUCUUGGAAUAAACUGCAAGAGCUGAGUUUGGACUAUGCCGACAUCACUGGCGCGACAUUACAAUUUGUGUCAAACCUAACUAGCUUAACCAUGCUUGAUGUCAGUGACAACCAAUUGAGCGGCUCAGUGCCCGUGGAGAUUGGCGCGCUUACAAAUUUGAUUCACUUAUACCUUGGAUACAACAACUUGAGUGGUGUGAUAUCAGAAGAUCAUUUUGUUGGUUUGAUGAAUUUAAAGUCCCUUGACUUAUCUGAUAAUAAUUUGGAACUCAAUAUUGACUCGCAUUGGGUGCCUCCGUUCAACUUGCAUCGGGCAUCAUUUUCAUCUUGUCAUCUGGGACCCCAAUUUCCAAAAUGGCUUCAACUGCAAGGGAGCAUCAACGACCUUGAUAUUUCAAACACAGGUCUAGUUGGUAGGAUCCCAGAUUGGUUUUGGACUACCUUUUCUGAAACUAGAUAUUUGGACAUCUCCUUGAACCAGCUUAGCGUAUUUGAUGAUCCUUUCAAAGAAGUAUACGAAGACAAAUACUCAUCCGUGGAUAUGGGACUGCAUAAUAAUGAUAGCAUCUCGAUGGUGAUGAAAGGGCAAGUGCUUGAGUAUGGGGAGAAUAUAGUAUAUUUGAUGAGCAUUGAUUUAUCUUGCAACAGUUUGACUGGAGAAAUCCCAGAGGAACUAAGCUCCCUUGCUGCUCUCAUAAGUUUGAAUUUAUCAUCGAACUUGUUGAGUGGAAAUAUCCCAUAUAAGAUUGGCAACCUUCGGUCGUUGGAGUCUCUUGACCUGUCAAAGAACAAACUUGGUGGUGAAAUUCCUCGGGGCUUAUCGGAUUUGACAUACCUGAGCUAUUUAAACUUGUCAUACAAUAAUCUGUCUGGAAGGAUACCCUCAGGGCAUCAACUAGACACCCUCAACACAGAUGACCCAGCUUCUAUGUACAUUGGUAAUCCUGCUCUUUGUGGACAUCCAGUUCCAAUGCAAUGUCCUGGUCCGCCAACCAACAAAGGUCCAACAAGGUUGCCUGAAGAUGGCUUGUCUCAAAUGGAUUUUCUUCUUGGAUAA